rnacentral:rRNA from 1 species
AGAGCGAACGCUGGCGGCAGGCCUAACACAUGCAAGUCGAACGGACCCUUCGGGGUUAGUGGCGGACGGGUGAGUAACACGUGGGAACGUGCCUUUUGGUUCGGAAUAGCUCCUGGAAACGGGUGGUAAUGCCGAAUGUGCCCUUCGGGGGAAAGAUUUAUCGCCAUUAGAGCGGCCCGCGUCUGAUUAGCUAGUUGGUGAGGUAAUGGCUCACCAAGGCGACGAUCAGUAGCUGGUCUGAGAGGAUGACCAGCCACAUUGGGACUGGGACACGGCCCAAACUCCUACGGGAGCAGCAGUGGGGAAUCUUGCGCAAUGGGCGAAAGCCUGACGCAGCCAUGCGCGUGAAUGAUGAAGGUCUUAGGAUUAGUAAAAUUCUUCACCGGGACAUAAUGACGGUACCGGAAGAAGAACGCCCCGGACUAACUUCGUGCCAGCACGCCGC